rnacentral:siRNA from 1 species
UAAUUGGCCGGGUCGUGCCUCCGGC